UCAACUUGAUGCAAGCACCGCUAGUUUUUUCCUCUCCUUUCCUAAGUCAUGGAGUCCCCAAAACCCUACGGCCCCACAAACCCCCUUCUCUCGCUCUCCACCUUCGUCCACCAGCACUGCCACCGGCUCUGCGCCGAGCUAGCCAGCCGCUUCAAGGACACCAAGCGACUCGCUGGAACCCUAUCUGACGGCUGGCCCCCUGUGGCAAGCCGGCGUCCCCGUUCGUCGUAUCCUCCGCUGUUCGCGUCGGUAACACAGGCGAAGCAAGCCUUAGCCGCAGGUCUGAGCUCCGACCACGUGGCAAAAACCCUAACUGGCACGUCAGUCUACACUGUCAGCAAUUCGAACAAUGAGUUCGUCCUUAUCUCUGAUCCCAAUGGUGUCAACUCGAUUGGGUUGCUUUGUUUUCGCCAGGAGGACGCCGAGGCCUUCCUUGCUCAAGUUAGAACACGGAAAAGAGAACUACGAAGUGAGGCAAAGGUUGUUCCCAUUACUCUUGACCAGGUAUAUAUGUUGAAGGUCGAAGGAAUUGCAUUUCGGUUUUUGCCUGACCCUGUUCAAAUAAAGAACGCAUUGGAGCUCAAAACCGCAGAUUCCAGGAAUGGGUUUGAUGGAGUUCCUGUUUUUCAGUCCGACCUUCUGGUUGUCAAGAAGAAAAACAAGCGUUACUGUCCAAUUUACUUUACAAAGGAGGAUAUAGAAAAAGAACUGUCGAAGGUCUCUAGGGCAUCAAGAGGACUAGCAUUAUCCCAACAUAUUAUGGUUGGUAGCUUGGAAGCUGUUUUGAGAAAAAUGGAGAUGAGUGAGCGGAACUCAGGGUGGGAAGAUCUGAUUUUUAUUCCACCUGGCAAAAGCCACUCUCAACACAUUCAAGAAGUGCUUAAAGCAUGAUUCAUGUGAUGCGUGACUUCAACUGACCAUUUGAAAGGAUCUGGAAGCUGUUAGCAUACGGCAUGUUUGGUCAAAAUAAAGCAGGAAAAUUAAAGCUCUGGAGUGUGGGUUUUACAGCUAAAAAGAGAUCCAGUGAAGGUCAGGGAAAUCACCAUGUUGAGACAAAAAUUGUGGGACUGUUGUAGUUUGUGUACAGUUUCAUUGCAUUGACACAAAUGCGCCCUAUAUAUGUUGUUAAACAUAUAUAGAUCAAUUUCAAGCGAAAUCACACCUUGUAAGAGAGCUCGGCAAAUCUCUUUUAACUGCGCAUACAUGAUUUAUGGAACAUGAAUGAUCAGACGCUCAUACAAACGGCAUCUCUGCAUCUUUAUGUUUCCUCUGCCACAUAUAAUUGAAAUGGCAAUAUCUUUGUUGGAA